rnacentral:tRNA from 1 species
GCGCCCGUAGCUCAAUGGAUAGAGCAUCGGUCUUCGGAACCGAGGGUUGGGAGUUCGAGUCUCUCCGGGCGCGCCA